rnacentral:rRNA from 1 species
UGAGCAACCUGCCCUUGACUCUGGAAUAACAGCUGGAAACAGCUGCUAAUACCGGAUACGACCUCCGAUGGCAUCAUCUGGAGGUGGAAAGCUCCGACGGUCAAGGAUCGGCUCGCGGCCUAUCAGCUUGUUGGUGAGGUAACGGCUCACCAAGGCUUCGACGGGUAGCCGGCCUGAGAGGGCGACCGGCCACACGUGGGACUGAGAUACCGGCCCAGACCUCGUACGGGA